GGGGAAUAUUGCGCAAUGGGGGGAACCCUGACGCAGCAACGCCGCGUGAAGGAAGAAGGUCUUCGGAUUGUAAACUUCUUUGAUGAGGGACGAAUAAAGUGACGGUACCUCAAAAACAAGCCACGGCUAACUACGUGCCAGCAGCCGCGGUAAUACGUAGGUGGCGCGCGUUGUCCGGAAUUACUGGGUGUAAAGGGCGUGUAGGCGGGGAUGCAAGUCAGAUGUGAAAUACCGAGGCUUAACCUCGGGGCUGCAUCUGAAACUGUGUUUCUUGAGUGUCGGAGAGGAAAGCGGAAUUCCCAGUGUAGCGGUGAAAUGCGUAGAGAUUGGGAGGAACACCAGUGGCGAAGGCGGCUUUCUGGACGACAACUGACGCUGAGGCGCGAAAGCGUGGGGAGCAAAC
rnacentral:rRNA from 1 species